CGAAAACUCCGACCCGGAACUGCGGUGUUUUGGAAAGCGAGAGGUGGAGCGUAUCUGGUGGCGUGGAGCGUUUCUGGCGGUGAGGAACGACCUCCAGGGGUCGUUAGUGAGUUAGAGAAAUGGAGUGUCUGCAAGGUGUCUGAUGCAACCCUUCAGGAUCUUCGCUGUCCUGAGUCGCGGUUCUCUGCCGCGUGGGCGUCGAGGCCUGUCUCAGCCUAGCGUUUCUUCCCGCUGCGGCGUUGUUGGUGUUGGGUGUAUUCGCCCCACUCACCCUCGGGCAUCUUUAUGCGGUAAAGGCCAGUAGCUGCCUUUUUUCCAGCCUUGCUCUGGCUGUUUUCUUGAAAAAGAGACGACCUUGUCCCCACAGUGUAAGCCACUGGAUCCCACCCGUGGAUCCCACAGCUCUUUUGCUACUUCUGGCGCUGACCGCAGCAGACGAGAAUGCAGACACUUCCAUCCAAGGUUAUUUAUGCUAGAAGAAGAAUUCCCGUCCCAAAGCCAGUUUUUGGAGAAAAGAAGAUAUAGCCAGAGCCCCAAAAGAAGAUUACUCUGCAACUGCUAAAGGUGACUGAGCUACAGGACUUCUCCCAGGAAUGGGGCAAGCCAGGAGAUGGGAGGUUCUCACCCACCAAAUCGCUGUGGCAACUGAAAGUGCCUCCAUGGAUAUCCCCAAGGACUCCUGGGGAACAGGAUUGCCCCCCACCACUACCCAGAACCUCUGCUCAGAGACUCCUAAAAGAGGUGUAGGGCCAGUUUCUGGCUUAGGGAGGCAAAAUAAUGUCCUGGAAGCCCUCCCCAUUGGGCUCAUGCUCUGAACAGUGUGGUGAUUUCCUAGUAGUAAAACCAACCACUUCUCUCUAAAACCAUUGUCAACCUUUGGCCAUGCUGUGCCCAAAGUGAGGCUCAGAGAUUAUCCAAACUGGUUUCACACAGGAAUUACAGGGGCCCUUUAAAAAAUACAGAAAUCCAAUUCUUACCCCAGUGAGUCUCUUUACCUGGCCUGGGCAUCUAGCUACUUAAUGUGCUCUGUAAUUAGCCCACGCUCAGGACAGUGAACUUUGCUCACUGAAAUUAAAGUUAACCUUGGCCAGGAAGCUUCCUCAUUAGCACCUUCCACUUUAAUUUAUUCUCUUACUGCUUAGUUCCCUUUUCC
rnacentral:lncRNA from 1 species